rnacentral:rRNA from 1 species
GCUCGCGGAGGAUCCGUAGGUGACCGUCGGAGCCUAUACGUUGCCUCGGCGGAUCAGCCCGCGCCCCGUAAAAAGGGACGGCCCGCCCGAGGACCCCUAAACUCUGUUUUUAGUGGAACUUCUGAGUAAAACAAACAAAUAAAUCAAAACUUUCAACAACGGAUCUCUUGGUUCUGGCAUCGAUGAAGAACGCAGCAAAAUGCGAUAAGUAAUGUGAAUUGCAGAAUUCAGUGAAUCAUCGAAUCUUUGAACGCACAUUGCGCCCGCCAGUAUUCUGGCGGGCAUGCCUGUUCGAGCGUCAUUUCAACCCUCAAGCUCAGCUUGGUGUUGGGACUCGCGGUAACCCGCGUUCCCCAAAUCGAUUGGCGGUCACGUCGAGCUUCCAUAGCGUAGUAAUCAUACACCUCGUUACUGGUAAUCGUCGCGGCCACGCCGUAAAACCCCAACUUCUGAAUGUUGACCUCGGAUCAGGUAGGAAUACCCGCUGAACUUAAGCAUAUCAAAAGGCCGGAGGAA